GACGAACGCUGGCGGCGUGCUUAACACAUGCAAGUCGAGCGGUAAGGCCCCUUCGGGGGUACACGAGCGGCGAACGGGUGAGUAACACGUGGGUGACCUGCCCUCAGCUCUGGGAUAAGCCUGGGAAACUGGGUCUAAUACCGGAUAUGACUCCAUGACGCAUGUCGUGGGGUGGAAAGCCUUGUGCGGCUGGGGAUGGGGCCCGCGGCCUAUCAGCUUGUUGGUGGGGUGANGGCCUACCAAGGCGACGACGGGUAGCCGGCCUGAGAGGGCGACCGGCCACACUGGGACUGAGACACGGCCCAGACUCCUACGGGAGGCAGCAGUGGGGAAUCUUGCGCAAUGGGCGAAAGCCUGACGCAGCGACGCCGCGUGAGGGAUGACGGCCUGG
rnacentral:rRNA from 1 species